rnacentral:rRNA from 1 species
GACGAACGCUGGCGGCGUGCCUAACACAUGCAAGUCGAGCGGGGUUGAGGCGAGAGGUAACUCGAACUUCUACCUAGCGGCGGACGGGUGAGUAACGCGUGGGCAACCUGCCUCAAGGUUUGGGAUAACAGCCCGAAAGGGCUGCUAAUACCGGAUAUGCCUAUGGCCUCGCAUGGGGCUAUGAGCAAAGGGGAAACCCGCCUUGAGAUGGGCCCGCGUCCCAUCAGCUAGUUGGUGAGGUAACAGCUCACCAAGGCGACGACGGGUAGCCGGCCUGAGAGGGUGACCGGCCACACUGGGACUGAGACACGGCCCAGACUCCUACGGGGGGGCAGCAGUGGGGGAUCUUGCACAAUGGGCGAAAGCCUGAUGCAGCGACGCCGCGUGAGCGAAGAAGGCCUUCGGUUGUAAGCUCUGUCUGGAGGGACGAACAAAUAGACGGUACCUCCGGAGGAAGCACGGCUAACUACGUG